GUUUCAUAAUAAUGGGUUAGGUAAAUGUUUCAUGAUAAGAAUAUCAUGUAUUUUGUAUUAAAGAAUUAAAUGGAUGAAAUAUGAAGUUUUAUUAAAAGAAAAAGGGGUGAAAAGAACAAAGUUUUGUCCAUCUUUGUUCAUCAUAGCUGAAAGUUAGAGAAGAGAAAGGAGAGGAGAAAGCUCUUGAGUAUUCGGUCAUUAGGAGGAGGAAAAUUGAAGGAAAUCCCCAACCAUAGUGGGCUUGGAGCUGUGAGGGAAUUCGGAGUGGCCACCCGUUCUGAAAGUUUGAUUUUCUUCUGGUGAACUGGACAUCCUUUUAAUUACGUUUGAGGUUUUGGGCUUUUAAAUGUAAUAAGGCCGCUUAUUUAUUUUUGAUGGUUUUAAUAUGUAUUACUAAGAUAGGUAUUACUUAUUUUAACUGUUGAAACUGGAUAGCUUUAGGGCGCGUUUUCAAAAACAACAGUUGAUUUCAAAAUAACACGACAACAAGCAAAGCUUCCGCAAUGAAA